rnacentral:rRNA from 1 species
UACAGAGGGGGCAAGCGUUGUUCGGAAUUACUGGGCGUAAAGGGCGCGUAGGCGGCCGCCUAAGUCAGACGUGAAAUCCCUCGGCUCAACCGGGGAACUGCGUCUGAUACUGGGUGGCUUGAAUCCGGGAGAGGGAUGCGGAAUUCCUGGUGUAGCGGUGAAAUGCGCAGAUAUCAGGAGGAACACCAGUGGCGAAGGCGGUGCUCUGGGCCGGAACUGACGCUGAGGAGCGAAAGCGUGGGGAGCAAACAGG